UCCGCCUUCACGCAGUCGAGUUGCAGACUGCGAUCCGAACUGAGACCGGUUUUCAGGGAUCCGCUCCAGCUCGCGCUGUCGCAUCCCGUUGUACCGGCCAUUGUAGCAUGCGUGAAGCCCUGGACGUAAGGGGCAUGAUGAUCUGACGUCAUCCCCACCUUCCUCCG
rnacentral:rRNA from 1 species